AGGGACGCGAGAGAAACAGAGCCCCCGAUGCCCCUCAUCGCUCCUCGUCUCUCCCAAAUCUCCGCCACCAAUCACCGCGUCACCCUCCUCCUCCCACCUCGUUGCCGGCCCUCCCCUCCCCUCGUCCCACAUCACAGCUCCGGUGGCUACCAGAUCCGCCAUAUCCCCCACCCACCCAUCCCUCUCACAUCCCAUCUCUCUCUUGACGCAGCUCCUCGUUGCGCCAUCUCCGGCGGCUGAUUCCGGCGAUGUCCAGCGAAUCCCUCCAUCGCAAAGCACAGCCCGAGGUCCCCUCACACAGCGGCGCGCUCCCAUGUGGCUAGAUCCGGCGCUCCCGGCCACCAAAGCCCACCCGCGACCUUCCCCUGAUGGCUAGGGUUUCGGGCGUCGGCUCCGGCGCCGGUGGCCAUGUCGUCCUCCUCUCGUCGGAGUCUGAUGGUCAGGUUAUUUAGGUGGAGGUAGUAGCUUGCUAAUGGUGGCUUUCACGUCCAGCUCAAAUACUAGAGGAUGUGGACCUGUUGGGGGAAGCAUGUACACCUUUGUUUUAGUGAGAAGGUGAAAGAAUAAUGCGCAUGGUUUCUUCUAUGAUGUUGCUUUGAUGAUGUUGAUAUGAUUCAGAACACUGCUAAAUACUUCUCUCCACGCCUAUUAAUAUAAUGAUUGUUGUAUGCUCUUACUAUUCUACACAAUUUGGAUUUCUAGCUAAAUACCCGUGUGUUGCUAUGGGCUAACAAACAUUCAAUUUCAUGAACCCGUCAAAUGUGAUACAUAGUUUUUGUAGUAUGUGAUACACUGUUACUUUCCAAUUGUAUUUUCAUAUGUUGACGUCCUUCUCUUCCUUCGGUUUGAAAAGCUAUUAUGCAACUCCCUAGUUAAAUUCCUCGGUCUUGCUAGCCUCUUCGUCUAAACAACUCACCAUAAGAUAGUACACAUUUUCUUUCUUGAGAUUUAGUACACAUUUUCUUUGUCAUUUGGUUAUGUGAUUGUCCCCUCAUAGCAUGCUGUUAUUAUAGAUGCACUUGGGUCAAGUCAUUGCAGAGGAUUCAUCUAUACCGAGUACUCCCUCCCUAAAGAAAUAUAAGAGCGUUUAGAUCAUCUAAACACUCUUAUAUUUCUUUAUGGUGCGAGUACUUAUCUACUAAUCUAAAAAAGAUACUUAUCUACUAUCGUUGUACAUCAUAGUGAAAAUAAAACUGAAUCCCAAUAGCCCACUUAGAUGCAACCUACACCUGAGCUUUACGCAUGUUCAUGUGCAAACAUUCAGAUACUAAAGCUUGCAGCAAGCACACGCACAUAUACACAGGCCACGACUCACUGUUAAUCAUCAUGUUUGUCAUCCGUUAAGUAGAGGUUCAUUGUUUGUUUGUGCGCAGGUUUCCAAAGGAAGAAAUACUCAAUGCCAAUCGGUGGUUUUCAAUGUGCCAGUCUCUACAUUCAUAGGACUAUCGAGAUGGAGGCAAACAUCAUAGACGGUUGGAGCUGCGAGUAGAUUUGUCCAAGAUACGACAGUGUUCGUAGUCAUGGUUCUGAUUCAAAAGAUAUACGGACGCUUAUAUGGGUGCGUGGCAAGUAUACUGCAAUGAUGAUGAUGAUGUUCCGGUUCACAAUGAUGGCUGUUUUUAGUUUUAGUUAUGAUGGCUGUUUUCAGUUUUAGUUAAGUUGUAGGGAUGCUGUUCGUGUCGGAUGAUGUUACUUGGUUUAGUUGUAGGAAUGUCGACGGAUGCUUUCAGUUUAAGUUUUGAUGUCAAGAGAAUAUUUAGAUUAUGCAUCACAUUUGGAAGUUAUUCCUCUUGUAAUAUCAACAAUUGUAAUCCCAUAGUUUUUUUUCAAUAUAUGAUUUCUUCCUCUCGUGCG